CAUCUCACACACAACUAUGACCUUACCUCUUUUCAUCAUCAAGAAUCAGCUACCAUUAUCCCCAUUUUAACAGAUGAGGGAACUGAGGCUUACACAGUUUAAGUUAUUUACUUGCCCAAGGACACAAAUUAGGAACUGGUGCAACUCAUACCUGACCCUACACCUAACACCAAAGCCCAUACUGCCUUACCAUGCAGAGCUUCUAGAGUGCUUAAACUCCUGGCAAUUUCAUUUCAGCCAAAUGAUCUGCAAUCUGUAAAAUCUGAUACUUUACAUAUGCUUACUACAGUUUUUUUUUGAAAUCAGCAUGACUUGCUUGUGGGGCUCUAAGGUUUGUUCUUGCUUUUAGAACACUGGAAGAUACUUGAGUAUCAGAACUGGAUGGCAGUACUUAUAUAC
rnacentral:lncRNA from 1 species